rnacentral:rRNA from 1 species
GUGGCGCACGGGUGCGUAACGCGUAUACAAUCUACCUUUUACAGGGGUAUAGCCUUUAGAAAUGAAGAUUAACACCCCAUAGUAUCUAUAUAUCUCAUGGUAUUUAGAUUAAAACUUCGGUGGUAAAAGAUGAGUAUGCGUUCUAUUAGCUAGAUGGUAAGGUAACGGCUUACCAUGGCGACGAUAGAUAGGGGCCCUGAGAGGGGGAUCCCCCACACUGGUACUGAGACACGGACCAGACUCCUACGGGAGGCAGCAGUGAGGAAUAUUGGACAAUGGGCGAGAGCCUGAUCCAGCCAUGCCGCGUGCAGGAUGACUGCCCUAUGGGUUGUAAACUGCUUUUAUAUAGGAAGAAACCUUUCCACGUGUGGAAAGCUGACGGUACUAUAAGAAUAAGGAUCGGCUAACUCCGUGCCAGCAGCCGCGGUAAUACGGAGGAUCCAAGCGUUAUCCGGAAUCAUUGGGUUUAAAGGGUCCGUAGGUGGAUAAUUAAGUCAGAGGUGAAAUCCUGCAGCUCAACUGUAGAAUUGCCUUUGAUACUGGUUAUCUUGAAUUAUUGUGAAGUGGUUAGAAUAUGUAGUGUAGCGGUGAAAU